UGUUAGUGGGAAACUGGAUGUAUUUUGAACCGCGAAUACCGUCGUGUAUGUUUGGAUAGAAAGUUUCUAUCGUAUUAGUGUAUAUUGCUUAUAUUGUUUCUUGAUUUUGAACCGCGUUAAUGAUUUUG